rnacentral:rRNA from 1 species
UAGGGAAUUGUUCGCAAUGGGCGCAAGCCUGACGACGCAACGCCGCGUGGAGGAUGAAGACCUUCGGGUCGUAAACUCCUUUCGACCGAGAUGAACACUCACCGACCUAAUACGUCGGUGAGCUGACAGUAUCGAGGGAAGAAGCCCCGGCUAACUCCGUGCCAGCAGCCGCGGUAAUACGGGGGGGGCAAGCGUUGUUCGGAAUUACUGGGCGUAAAGGGUUCGUAGGUGGCUUGCUAAGUCAGACGUGAAAUCCCUCAGCUUAACUGGGGAACUGCGUCUGAGACUGGUGAGCUUGAGUGCAGGAGAGGAACGCGGAAUUCCAGGUGUAGCGGUGAAAUGCGUAGAUAUCUGGAGGAACACCGGUGGCGAGGCGGCGUUCUGGACUGCUACUGACACUGAGGAACGAAAGCCAGGGGAGCAAACGGG